rnacentral:lncRNA from 1 species
GAGGGGUGGAAUAGGAAUUGAGGCAAAAGGGCCCCUUUCCUCUGAACAUGCACAGUUAGCAGGGAAGGUAGACACUAAAUAGAUACACAUAAUAACAUGUCGUGAUUGCCAUGGUGGUGAGUACAGGCUGCUGAGAUGCCCAGAGUAGGAGUCCUGACACAGACAGUGGGCCCAGGAGACCUCCCUGGAGAGAAGACAUUUAUGCUGAGAUUUCAGUAAUGGGUAUUAGCCAUUAGGUGUAGGCAAACAAAAGUGUACAAUUCUAGGCCAGGUGCGGUGCCUCACUUAAGGUCAGGAGUUUGAGGCCAGCCUGGCCAACAUGGCAAAACCCCCUCUCUACCAAAAAAUAUAAAAAAUUAGCUGGGCGUAGUGGCAGGCGCCUGUAAUCCCAGCUACUCAGGAGGCUAAGGCAGGAGAAUUGCUUGAAUCUGGGAGGCAGAAGUUGCAAUGAGCUGAGAUCUCCCCAUUGCACUCCAGCCUGAGUGACAGAGUGAGACUCCAUCUCAAAAAAAAAUAGUGUGCAGUUCCAGGCGGAAGAUCACCAUGUGUGAAAGCUCAGAGACAAUGAAUCUUGCCUAAGAACAGAAGAGAAGUCUGCGUGGUCAGAACCCACGAUAUAAGGAGAGUGAGAAGAGGGGAGGUGAGGGGAUGUGUUAGAAGACCUUCUUAACUACCUAAGGAGUUUACAUUUUAUCCUCAGGAAAAUGGGAUGUCAUCAAAGCCCUUUGAGAAAAGGAGGGAUGUGAUCAGAUUUGUAAUUUUCAAAGAUUUCCUGAGGUGCUGUGAAUUUUACAGAUCAACUGAGAUGCAAAACCCAUGUUCACAUCAUGAGUGAGUCUUCUAACUCGGACAAUGCAAUCAACAAAUUCUAAGACCAAAUUCCGGUGGCACUGGCUCCAAAGCUCCUGAGUGUGGAAGGAGGUGAACAGGGAAAAGCAGAGAGGACAAAAGUCACAUCCCCUCCCCACAGACCCAUACUGGGGAAGGGUGGAAGAUUUAGCUGCGAGUCAAGUUCAGAAUUUUGAUUAACAUCUUGGCAUGCACAUUCGAAUUUCAGAAUCAAGACUGUUGGCCAUAAAAAAUGACUAUAGCCUUGUGUAUUACCUGAACUGAGCAGUAAAAAAAAAGUCAUGGUCCUUCUGGGGCUUUUAUUCUGAGACAGGAACCCUGAACAGGCAGGAGAAAGGGAAUGUUGACAGAGAAACAAAGACAGUUGGCGACACACGCUGACCGCCAUGCGGACGUCCAUCAAACCCAGCACUGGCCCUGGGUACGUGCGCCUUUGCUAUUACCCCAAUACAUUUUCUUCUGCAGAGCAAGCAACAGAACACAUGCAGACCUUAAUAAAUACCACUGGGUAAUGUGACAAUGGCCAAACUCUCCUCACGGGGGAGAGAGUGUCCCCCAGUUUUGCUCCCUUUUAAUUUCCAGGGUUCAUAAGUAGCUCUAAAGCUUUGCUCUACAAGGUUGAUACAUACGAUAUUAAUGUUUCCCCUAAGCAGUAUAACAUAAAUAUAUUUGCUAUCUUGACA